rnacentral:lncRNA from 1 species
CCCAGCUGCUGCAACUCGCACCCGGCUCGGGCGGCAGCGGGAUCCGGACUGGAGCGGCCGGACUGGGCGAGCGGAGCCGCGGGGGCUCGGGGUGGGGGGUGCGAGAGGGGAGCCGGGGAGCCGAGCGGACCGCCGGGACUGGAGAGGCGGGGGCGGAGGCGGGGGAGCGAGCCCAGCAGGCAGGAGAAGGAGCUGGCAGCGGGGAAACCAGGACUGGAUUCAAGGGGGAGAGGAGGCGAGAACAGAGGAGGAGAAAGCCUGGCUGGCUGGAUCAGCAGGAAGGAAAGGAGUGAGAACUGAGACGCUGGAGUAGAGCUGAGAGCGCAGCGGGACUGGCAGGACUUUGCAUGACGUGCUGGGUUCCUCACCAACACCCCUUAGAUGUGGUAGCCCACAUCUGAAGCAGAAGAUCAGGAGUUCAAGGUCAUCUUCAACUACAUAACAGGUUUGAGGCCAUCUUGGGCAAACAAAAACGCUUAAGCAGGAGUUGAAAUAACAGGAAACUGUGUUUAACAAGGAAGGGAAAGGGUCUUUAGAGAUAUGGGAGCUCCGCAGGCCAACUCCUCAGGAUGCUGAAACAGGAGCAUCCCAAGUUCAAGGACAGCCUGGACAGUUCCUGAGUGUUGCUUUUAGGGGUAGGGGAGAAGAAAACUACUGUAUCACUUGGAGCUCAAGAAGGUUCUGGGACUUCUGUGUAAUUCUACUCCCAGCCCAUAGGAGCAAGUUAGGAGCUUGCCCGACUUACUCCCCAGUCCCACAGAUUGUAUGUCCCCUGCCUCAAAGCUGCUGCUUUGCUGCCUGGGGGGGAACCACCAUAUUUCUGACCACAGCCUUUUCCUUAAAUAUGCCUCUUAAGUAGAAGAAUUGAAGCUAGAGAUGGGUUAGGAGAGCACCUACUGUUUCUGCAAAGGACCCAGAUUCAGUUCCCAGCACACAGGGUGCCUCACAACCAUCUGUAACUCCGGUUCUGGCGCCCUCUUCUGACCUCUGCUGGUACCAGGCAUGCAAGUGGUACACAGAUGUACAUGCAAGCAAAAACACUCGUGUACAGAAAGUAAAACAAAUAAACCAAAAAGAAAAUUUUCUACUUCCCCCCCCAAGACAGU